CCGUCGCGGACCACUAGGGGGCCACGGACCCCUGGUUGAAAACCCCUGCUUUAUGGUGUACCGCAUGCUACAGCACCAUAUGAUAAAACCAAUCAGUUAACUUGUCUAUCUUACACAUCACUAUUCUGGAAAAUGUGUACAGUAUGCCAGUACAUUUAUACAUGUGACAAUGUUAGACCAACUGAAAUGACACACUGAAGGCAUCAUACAGGCAUAACACUUCACCUGUGCCUUCUUCUGCAACAGGAUAUGGAGAACAACAUCAACACGGCUCUGGGCGGAGUGGACGUCAGUGAGGAGAUGAAGGAGGAGAUCUGGAGGAGGGUGAGGAAGGCCCUGGGCGCUGAGGAAGAGGAACCUGUCCCCAGCCAGGAACAUUCUGCAGUCGUGUGAUGGACCUGCUGUUACUGGGAGCAAACACUAAUAAAUAAAACACUCUCAUUUUGAAAUAA